CACAAUUUUGUCCGCCCGCGGCCGCCGUCCGCCGCCCCGGCCCCUCCCCAUCAUGGCGCCGCCAGCCGCCCGCCCCAUCCCCGCCCCGCCGGGGCCGGGGCUAAAACGAGCGGGCCGCGGCCGCGGAGCCCGGCGGCACCUGGUGGAACAGCUCGAAGAUCAGCUCCUCCGUCACCCGCGGGUCCAGGUCCUGCUCCAGAGCCCAGCCACGACCAGGGUGAGGUAACUUCGCCGUGAGCCACCAGGAUGAGCACGGUUGUUUUGUGUAAUAAUAAUAAAAAGGAAGUGAGCACAGCGCUGAGUGGAGUGUGGAACCGUUGGCUCGUUCCCUUUUAUUGCUGCAAUACUCGCCACCAUCCCAAAUACUGCCUCCUGUAAUGGCACAAACACACGCAGGCUGCUUUGCAUUCCUCCUCUGAACAGCUGUAUUACUCUUAAUGUGAAGACAGCGCUUUUGCUUUUAUGUUUGAGCAGGGUUCUGGACACCCAUCUCUCAGCUAAGGUACUUCUCCAGUGUGUUACGAAAUAGCUCCCCUUUCCCAUGAUGUUUGAUUGCAUGGUAAGUACAGUUCGAAACAACUGUAAUUCCCCUGGAUAUUUUGGAACACGCUGGAUGUAAAACAAGGAUAUUUUCCAUCUGGAAAUUUUUUGAAAGGGGAAGUUCAGCCCUCAUUUUUCAUUAGAUUUCAAUGCAUUAUGGCAUAUCCUAUUUUCUUGUUAAUUAGGCCCUGUUCAUUUUCUCCAGUUCAUUACUUACUACCGCACCUAGAAUUUAUAUUCAUUUGGUUUAAUCGUGUUCGCCUGGUUAAAUUCUAAACAGUUACUCAUUCAGAAAGGAAAUUAUUACCCUACUCUGCCAGGACUUCCACUUUGGCUUAAUUUCCCUGGAGCCUCAUUUGCUUUCUUCUGUGUUUUUUUUUUUCCUUACUGGGUCCCCGUAGGUUUGGUUGGAAGUGUGUUUGACAGCUUUACCAUCAUCAGCUUUUCUUCACUUGGGUUGGGCAUCUUCAGAUGGAUGUUGCAGUUUUGCACGGUGUGCGGUACGCAGCCGGAUAAAUUCAGAGGGACCCACAGAACAUGGUGAUGGGCUCAGACUGGCCUGUUGCUGUCUUGCAUGGCCAAGACCCAAAAAAAAUGCACAACAGGGGAAUGAGAAAACAAUUUCAGAUUUUUUUACAGGCAUACUACAAUCCUGUUGUGGUUUUUGCCUUUUUUGUUGCUUUAUUCCCAUUUUGCUCUUUAAUAAAACCCUCAAAGGUAUUUGCUUUCGGGGCACAAAAUGUUUGUAAGCUUCCUAUUUACACUCUUAGUAUACAGGAGCUUAUGUUCUUGAACAUUACAGAGACUUACCAAUUCUGCUUGUUUCUGCUUAAUUUGGUUUUCACCUUUAGAUUAGGCUCUUAGUGUUGGGUCUUAGCAGUCUUCCUGUUCCACCACUAAUCAUUGUUAACAAUUACUCUUACAUUGCAAAGGAAAAAGCCCAAGAAAUCAGUGUCAGUCUUGCAGGUGACACACACAAGUCACAGAUACCAGACACCACUUCUCUCCAGCGUCAUUUGUAUCCUGACCUGAUACAGCUACUUGAGAAAACAGUGUUCAUGUCAGACCAGUGGAGGCAAGAAGAGCAAUUAGUUCUCAGAUUGCUGCUGCACGUGCGUGAUCUUACCACCUAGUCCCAGCUCACAGGCUGGGAAAGGGCGUGGAUGUAAAAUAAUUCCCUUCUACUGAAGCUCUGAAAUGUAACAGGGAAAUGCAGUGUAGAGACAGUAACUCUGAUGGGAUGCACCUUGGUUAAGGCUCAGUGCUGGCCUGUGUUACAGCUUGCUACUCUCUAGCUACAGAUUUCUGAACUCCCCUCGGCCUCACCUGUGUCCGACAGUCCAUGAGGCCACAGGACUGUAGUCCAUCUGUCUGUCCGUCCUGUGUCUGUAGUAAUGCCUCUAUCCUCAGCACUGAUUGCAGAUGUCAGCUGUGCCUUCUCUCGUGCCUGAUUGCACUCAUGCUCCUCAGGUUAUUCAGCUGACUUCCCUGUGCAGAUGACAAUCUUCUUCAGUGCUGCAGUAAUGGGGCUGUUCAAUUGAAAGUGAAUGCUCGAAAAUUCUCCACGCCCUGCUAUCCUACCAGAAAACAGGUACUCGUAAUUACGUCAAAUGACAGAGAGCUCGGUCAGACAAAGCCAUCGCAGAUGACAGUUCUUUCACUGGAGAGCCUAAAAGAAUGGGUCACGCCAGCUAAUACAAUAACCGCACACCUUAUCCCUAUAUGCAAUUUUCAUUAGGGCCAUUGAAUGUCUGUGACUGACACCUGUACAAAGAGGGAGAGAAGCAGAUAGAUAAAAAUAACAGCUACAGUUACGGCAAUAAAGUGAACUUCCGCAGGCUUUUUGUGGUUCAUUUCUUUGGCUUCUCAUUCAGACAUGGAGUGAGUUAUGAGGAAGUCAAACUGGCAAACGGAGGAGCCAGAGCUCAGCCUGGAGUGGGGAGGAAGAAGUGAAGACUGGGGAGCAGCAGAAGGCUGAGAGAGGGAUUCCUCCCCUUCGUGAUUUCUCUCAAAUAAUUUUGUAUUAUGUUAAUAAAUUUUGCAAGUCAAAUACUGAA